AGCGAACGCUGGCGGCAGGCUUAACACAUGCAAGUCGAGCGCCCCGCAAGGGGAGCGGUAGACUGGUGGGUAACACGUGGGAACGUACCCUUUGGUUCGGAACAACCCAGGGAAACUUGGGCUAAUACCGGAGAAGUCCGCGAGGAGAAAGAUUUAUCGCCGAAGGAUGGGCCCGCGUCUGAUUCGCUCGUUGGUGUGGUAACGGCGCACCAAGGCGACGAUCAGUAGCUGGUCUGAGAGGAUGAUCAGCCACACUGGGACUGAGACACGGCCCAGACUCCUACGCGAGGCAGCAGUGGCGAAUAUUGGAAAACGGGGGCAACCAUGAUCCAGCCAUGCCGCGUGAGUGAUGAAGGCCCUAGGGUUGUAAAGCUCUUUCGGUGGGGAAGAUAAUGACGGUACCCACAGAAGAAGCCCCGGCUAACUUCGUG
rnacentral:rRNA from 1 species